rnacentral:lncRNA from 1 species
GAAAUAUAGAUAAAUUAAAGCUUCUUGAAGUAAGACUAGAAUAUAAGAAAGGUGUUGUUAAGAAUGAGCAAGGCCUCUCUUUUGCAUUCAUAUAUUCUAUCUACUAAAAAACUACAUAGUAAUGUUUUAUAGGCUAUAUGACAUGUGUCCAACUUGUUGGACACGUGACUAAUUUAUAAGAUAGGUUUCCAACAUGUAUGCCAUGUAACCAACUAAUAAUACAAAUGGCUAAAAUAUGCAACAUGUUGCCAACUCAUUGGCCUAGUUUUUAACCUACCAAUCACUUAUAAAUAUAUGUGAAGUCAAUAAAGCUUCCAAGAAGCUUCUCAAGAAGAUAUUAAUAAUUUAAUCUACUUGUAAUUUUUUUUAAUUAUUUUUUAUCCAAAUAAAUAUAGUAGUGAAUAUGGAUGUUUAUUACAUCAUCAUGUUUUAAACUUCUUUUUAUAAUGAAAUAGUUGAAUAUGAAAAAAUAUUCUUAUUUAAUUUUAUAUGGACUAUAAUCAAGGUUUUUAAGUUAAAUAAAUAUUUUUAAAUGAAGAAUUCUUUUUUCUGUUUUUUUUAGUAAAAUAAAAAUAAUGAUAAUAAUCUUUCAUUAUUUUUUGUUUUGUGAUAUUACACCAUUAAGAAAAAAAAUUGAUAUAAAGUCAAAAAAUUUACACCUAUAUAUCAUUGAAUGUCUUGAAUUUCUAGAAUUAUUUUUUUUCAUUGUUUUAAGUCUAUGAAGAUCUUUAAUUAGAAAAAUAUUAUUUUAUUUCAGUUAAUUUUUAAAAUGUAGAUAAUAUUUUUUUCUUACUCAUUAAAAAAUAAAAUUUAUGUAAAGAACUUACCUCUCUAUAAUGCCAUGUUAAAAGACCAAGAAUUGAAACUUUUAUUUGUUGCUCCUACAAUGUUCAGCAAUAACUAAUUAUAACAUCUUAUAUCAUGAGUAAUUUCUUCUUCUAUCCCAAUUUAAAAGACCAAUGAUUUUUAAAAUAAUUCAUGAAUCCAGUAAGUCUUCUUCUCGAAUUACUUCUUUGAUUUUAUUGUUCCUUACUGUGGAUAUAUGAGUUUUUUCUUUAGUGGAUAUUUUGCUAGUUACAAAUUUUUCUUUUUUCUUUUUCUUUAGAGAAUCUUUUAAAUUUUUAUUUAUUUAUUUCUCUAAAAAUCUUAUAAAAUUCUUAUGAUAUUCGUGAAUCUUGAUGCAAUCUGUAAAAUCCUUAAUAAAGAGGAUACAUUAAAUUGGCAUUUUACUAUAGAAAAGAAAUAAAAUUUUUAGAUAGAAAAUAUCACUUAGAAUUUUUUUAUUUCUCUUCUAAUUACUCUAUGGUAUAUAUAUAUAUAUAUAUAUAUAUAUAUAUAUAUAUAAAUAAAUAAAUAUAUAGAUUUAAAUACAAUUCUAGUGGCUUCUUGGCUUAAUUCAAGGACCACUUUAUAAAUUGUAGUUUCUUUUAAGAAGGUCUCAAUUGUCAUAAUUCUUAUCUAUAGUAGUUAAAAUAAAUUUAGUUUUUUUUUUUUCUUUAAUUAAUCAUUGUGAUUUUUUUAUAUCUAUCAAAUAAAUGCCAUUGAAUUUUUUUGAAAUAUUUGUGUUAUAUAAAAAAUAUGUACUUUACAAACCAAAUAUUUUACCUUUAUUAGAAAAAAGCACUAGCUAUGAUGAUUCUUUAAAUUAUUUGAAAGAUUAAUAUAAGAUUGAAAAAAUUAAAAUUUUUUUUUUGAUGAAUUACUGGUCUUCAAUAAAUUUUCGAAAUUUAUUAAAA